rnacentral:rRNA from 1 species
CGUCUCAGUUCAGAUUGCAGGCUGCAACUCGCCUGCAUGAAGCUGGAAUCGCUAGUAAUCGCAGGUCAGCAUACUGCGGUGAAUACGUUCCCGGGUCUUGUACACACCGCCCGUCACACCAUGGGAGCCGGAAAUGCCCGAAGCCAGUGACCCAACCUUAGGGAGGGAGCUGUCGAAGGUGGAGCCGGUAACUGGGGUGAAGUCGUAACAAGGUAUC